rnacentral:rRNA from 1 species
GAUGAACGCUAGCGGGAGGCUUAACACAUGCAAGUCGAGGGGUAUAGUAGCAAUACUAGAGACCGGCGCACGGGUGAGUAACGCGUAUGCAACCUGCCCUUUACUGGGGGAUAGCCCGUAGAAAUGCGGAUUAAUACCCCAUAGUACUAUUUAGUCGCAUGAUUGAAUAGUUAAAGUUUCGGUGGUAAAGGAUGGGCAUGCGUGACAUUAGCUAGUUGGUGAGGUAACGGCCCACCAAGGCUACGAUGUCUAGGGGUUCUGAGAGGAAGAUCCCCCACACUGGUACUGAGACACGGACCAGACUCCUACGGGAGGCAG